ensembl:lncRNA
CGCCCAGACUAAGCGCCGCACGGAGGGAAUCAGGGUCCCGGUGCCCCUGGCUUGGGGAGGCAGCUCCACAGCCAGAGUGUUGCUCCGUUUGUGCCCAGAAAGCGCCUGCCAGACCGGGCCUUCCCUGGAGCUGUCCUGCCGCCUAGAGGCAGGUGGAUGUGCUGUGCGGGCUUCCCCUGUGCGUUUGGGCUCCCUAGCACAGCCGCAGCGCAGGGGAACCAGCCCAUCAUCAGUGAGCUCCGGGCAGUACUUUGGUCCCAGGUUUGGAGCCCAAUGCCCGGAACGCGGGAGAGAAGAGGCUGGCUGCCGGCGGGUGCUUGCAAGCCUGUACUGGGAAGGACCGAGUGAGCUUCCACACCGGCGGAGCUCCAGCUCUGCGCCC